rnacentral:rRNA from 1 species
UACAGAGGUCUCAAGCGUUUGUUUCGGAUUCAUUGGGCGUAAAGGGUGCGUAGGCGGCGCGGUAAGUCGGGUGUGAAAUCUCGGAGCUUAACUCCGAAACUGCAUUCGAUACUGCCGUGCUUGAGGAACUGGAGAGGAGACUGGAAAUUUACGGUGUAGCGGUGAAAUGCGUAGAUAUCGUAAGGAAGACCAGUGGCGAAGGC